rnacentral:rRNA from 1 species
UAAAAACCUCGACUUCGAAAGGGGUGUAUUUAUUAGAUACAAAACCAAUGCCCUUCGGGGCUCUUUGGUGAUUCAUGAUAACUAUACGAAUCGCACGGCCUUGCGCCGGCGAUGGUUCAUUCAAAUUUCUUCCCUAUCAACUUUCGAUGUUUGGGUAUUGGCCAAACAUGGUUGCAACGGGUAACGGAGGGUUAGGGCUCGACCCCGGAGAAGGAGCCCGAGAAACGGCUACUACAUCCAAGGAAGGCAGCAGGCGCGCAAAUUACCCAAUCCCGACUCGGGGAGGUAGUGACAAUAAAUACUGAUACAGGGCCCUUUCGGGCCUUGUAAUUGGAAUGAGUACAAUUUAAAUCCCUUAACGAGGAACAAUUGGAGGGCAAGUCUGGUGCCAGCAGCCGCGGUAAUUCCAGCUCCAAUAGCGUAUAUUAAAGUUGUUGUGGUUAAAAAGCUCGUAGUUGAACCUUGGGCCUGGCUGGCCGGUCCGCCUCACCGCGUGCACUGGUCCGGCCGGGCCUUUCCCUCUGUGGAACCCCAUACCCUUCACUGGGCGUGGCGGGGAAACAGGACAUUUACUUU